UACGGGGGAGCAAGCGUUGUUCGGAUUUACUGGGCGUAAAGGGCGCGUAGGCGGCCUGUGCAAGUCAGUUGUGAAAUCUCCGGGCUUAACUCGGAACGGUCAACUGAUACUGCUCGGCUAGAGUGCGGAAGGGGCAACUGGAAUUCUUGGUGUAGCGGUGAAAUGCGUAGAUAUCAAGAGGAACACCUGCGGCGAAGGCGGGUUGCUGGGCCGACACUGACGCUGAUGCGCGAAAGCUAGGGGAGCGAAUGGG
rnacentral:rRNA from 1 species